CUCCUAAAGUACGAGUUAAGGUAGCCUAAAUUGCAAGCAUCAGACACCAUGAAAGGCGUUGAUUCGUUCAGACAAUCGGAACGUGACCCUGAGAGUAGGUAUCGUUAAGACCGUUCCCACCCACCGAUUAACGAAUCAGCCCUAAAAAUGGAUGGCGCUAUAUUGUAAUACCGACACUCGACCUUCAAGGCAAAAAGCAGCCUUGAAGAGUAAGAAGGCGUGGAAGUAGUGCUGAAGCCGCGACGUGAGUCUAGGUGGAACUGCUUCUAGUGCAGAUCUUGGUGGUAGUAGUAAUUAUUCAAAUGAGAACUUUGAAGACUGAAGCUAGAGACGGGUUCCGUGAGAACAGCAAUUGGUCACGGGGUUACUCGAUCCUAAGGCAAGGCGGAAACGCCGCGAAGCAGUGUUUCACUGCGGUGCCGAAAGGGAAUGAGGUUAAUAUUCCUCAAGUUUGCAAUGGAUCCUGUGUGGCAACACAAACAACCUCGGAGACAUCGGCGC
rnacentral:rRNA from 1 species